GAUGAACGCUGGCGGCGUGCCUAAUACAUGCAAGUCGAGCGAACAGAUAAGGAGCUUGCUCCUUUGACGUUAGCGGCGGACGGGUGAGUUACACGUGGAUAACCUACCUAUAAGACUGGGAUAACGUCGGGAAACCGGAGCUAAUACCGGAUAACAUAUUGAACCGCAUGGUUCAAUAGUGAAAGGCGGCUUUGCUGUCACUUAUAGAUGGAUCCGCGCCGUAUUAGCUAGUUGGUAAGGUAACGGCUUACCAAGGCAACGAUACGUAGCCGACCUGAGAGGGUGAUCGGCCACACUGGAACUGAGACACGGUCCAGACUCCUACGGGAGGCAGCAGUAGGGAAUCUUCCGCAAUGGGCGAAAGCCUGACGGAGCAACGCCGCGUGAGUGAUGAAGGUCUUCGGAUCGUAAAACUCUGUUAUCAGGGAAGAACAAAUGUGUAAGUAACUGUGCACAUCUUGACGGUACCUGAUCAGAAAGCCACGGCUAACUACGUG
rnacentral:rRNA from 1 species